rnacentral:rRNA from 1 species
GACAGAGGCCUCGAGCGUUAGGCGGAAUUACUGGGCGUAAAGCGUGCGCAGGCGGCUUUGCAAGACAGAUGUGAAAUCCCCGGGCUUAACCUGGGAACUGCAUUUGUGACUGCAUGGCUGGAGUGCGGCAGAGGGGGAUGGAAUUCCGCGUGUAGCAGUGAAAUGCGUAGAUAUGCGGAGGAACACCGAUGGCGAAGGCAAUCCCCUGGGCCUGCACUGACGCUCAUGCACGGAAGCGUGGGGAGCAAACAGG